AAACCUCCAUUAUCAACUCCUUUUAAAAAGCUUCAAAGUUCAAACAAAGUAAACAUUGUUUACUUCCCACUCUUUAAGUACUCUCUUUCUCUCUCCUUCUCUCCUCAUUUUUCCCCCUAAUUCUCUCUCUCCAUAACUAAAAAUGCAGAACCACCACAAACCACCUCGUCCACCACCACUAUCAGUGUCACAUCCAUCCGACCCAACCCCACCACCAGCCCAAUUCCAAACCCAUUCCCAGCCCAAUCCCAAGCCCAAUCUCAAGCCCAACCGCAAGCCCACCACCCCCACUCACUCCAGCUCCAACUCGGACGAGUCAACUCACUCUCCUCUCCGAUCCGACUCACCCCAUCGAUCCGACGAUCAUGACCUCCACAAAAAUGGUGGCGCAAUUGUAGCUGUUGAAAAGUAUUACUCUCCAUUAACUUCACCACUCCCUAUAACUCCACCAAAAGACGCUGCUACACCGGAUAAUUUCUCGUCUCCACCUCACCAAGUUAUUAAUUUCAGUCGAAGAGAAGAAGUUGCACCUCAAUCCGGCGUCGUUUUUAGAGAUGGAGGUGGUGGAGGAGGAGGAGAGAGAAAAGGAAGAGGUGGUGUAGGAGUGAGGUUUGGUGGUGUGGAAGAUAUUGUUAAGAAAUCUAGAAAAGGUGAAGUUGUUGAGAAGGUUAAUUUAGGGAUUAGGGUUUUGGAAAUUGUGUUUUGUUUGAUUUCUUUCUCGGUUAUGGCUGCUAAUCGAACUCAAGGUUGGAGUGGCGAUUCCUUUGAUCGUUAUAAAGAAUACAGGUUUUGUUUAUCUGUGAAUGUUCUUGGAUUUAUUUAUGCAGCGUUUCAGGCAUAUGACGUAGCCAACCUUCUGGUCACUGGAACACAUGUGAUCUCCCAUCACCUCCGCUAUCAGUUCGACUUUAUUAUGGAUCAGCUUCAUGUCAUGAUAGUCGUAUAUGUCGCACACAAGAUCAACUGUUGUCAGUUUGAUAAACAUAUGCCUUAGUGGUUUAAUGUUGGCUGUGCUAAUUCUUUAUGGAGUAAGCUUGGCGUAGCAUGAGGUGCUUUUAUUAACACAGAGUUGGCAAUGACAUUUAGGUUGCAUCUAUAUUAUGAACGGCAGACAGUAUGGCCAUAUGGCUCUACUUAUCACCAAUGACAUGAACCUAUAGCAAUUUUCAGUUUUGUCCACACACAAUCAAAUUCAGGCGGGCGAAUUCUUCGAACUGCACCACCUUUUAUACAAAAGAAAGAAUUUAAAGAUCUGUCAUGUGAGAUGGGAAGUUACUGCAUGAAUAUGAUGUGGCAAUCCAAUAUAACAAAAUAUUGUUAAGCAGAUGUGUGACUAUUAUAAGAAAAAGUUGACUGUCAUCUUCAAUAUUAGGCCCUAUUUUCAUGAGUUUACAGGAUCUAUCAUUAAGGGUUAGCCUUCAAGUUUUAAUUCCUUUAGUGAUCUUGAGAUACUAUCUGUCUCCAUCUGCUUUCACCUAUUAUAUGGAAGAGGUAGUUAAUUAAGCCAGACCUUGAAUAGGGGCAUGACAUACCCACACUCUGAUAAAGUCCAUGAAAGUCUUGGCCUCUUUUGCAUGAACUUCAAGCUAUGUAUAUUGUUUUAUCUGGUUACGCACUUAAGAUGCAGAACGCUUUGUGGUGUCAUUCAGACAUGCUGACUUUCGUAGAUCCCAGAUUUAUAAGGAGAAUAUUUCAGCUCCAUCUAGAAAAAUACUUGCAUAUCUUCUUAUAUCAGCCUCAUCAGCAGCAGCCUCUAGGGUUGAUGACUGGCAAGCUAAUUGGGGAAAAGACAAGUUCACUGAGAAGGCUAGUGCAUCAGUCAGUAUGGCUUUCUUGGCAUUUCUGGGUUU